GAUGAAGAACGCAGCGAAAUGCGAUAAGUAAUGUGAAUUGCAGAAUUCAGUGAAUCAUCGAAUCUUUGAACGCACAUUGCGCCCCCUGGUAUUCCGGGGGGCAUGCCUGUCCGAGCGUCAUUACAACCCUCAAGCUCAGCUUGGUGUUGGGCCCCGCCGCCCCGGCGGGCCCUAAAGUCAGUGGCGGUGCCAUCCGGCUCCGAGCGUAGUAAUUCUUCUCGCUCUGGAGGUCCGGUCGUGUGCUCGCCAGCAACCCCCAAUUUUUUUCAGGUUGACCUCGGAUCAGGUAGGGAUACCCGCUGAACUUAAGCAUAUCAAUAAGCGGAGGA
rnacentral:misc_RNA from 1 species